GAUGGUUCUCGGGUGAUGCACCCCGAAUCGGGCUCCCUUCUCUCUGGUUCUGGGGUGCAUC
rfam:Myotis brandtii contig144326, whole genome shotgun sequence.